ACAGAGGGUGCGAGCGUUAAUCGGAGUUACUGGGCGUAAAGGGCGCGUAGGCGGUAAUAUGAGUGUGAUGUGAAAGCCCCGGGCUUAACCUGGGAAGUGCAUCGCAAACGAUAUGACUAGAGUAUAUGAGAGGGUGGUGGAAUUUCCGGUGUAGCGGUGAAAUGCGUAGAGAUCGGAAGGAACGUCAAUGGCGAAGGCAGCCACCUGGCAUAAUACUGACGCUGAGGCGCGAGAGCGUGGGGAGCGAACAGG
rnacentral:rRNA from 1 species